rnacentral:rRNA from 1 species
GAAUUUUGGACAAUGGGCGCAAGCCUGAUCCAGCCAUGCCGCGUGAGUGAAGAAGGCCUUCGGGUUGUAAAGCUCUUUCAGACGGAAAGAAAUCGGGCGGGUGAAUAGCCUGCCUGGAUUGAGGUACUGUCAGAAGAGGCACCGGCUAACUACGUGCCAGCCGCCGCGGUAAUACGUAGGGUGCGAGCGGUAAUCGGAAUUACUGGGCGGAAAGCGUGCGCAGGCGGUUGUGUAAGACAGGUGUGAAAUCCCCGGGCUUAACCUGGGAACUGCGCUUGUGACUGCACGGCUAGAGUACGGCAGAGGGGGGUGGAAUUCCACGUGUAGCAGUGAAAUGCGUAGAUAUGUGGAGGAACACCGAUGGCGAAGGCAGCCCCCUGGGCCGAUACUGACGCUCAUGCACGAAAGCGUGGGGAGCAAACAGGA